AAUAUUUGAUUUGAACAGACGGUGCAUCAAUGCUGCAUGCAGUCGGGCUUUGAACGAAGCAGUGGAUUAAAUCCAUGGGACAAUU
rnacentral:ncRNA from 2 species